GUUGGCGACGGCGGCUGCGGGGGGAGCGCGGAGCCGCGGAGCGCAGUGAACUACCCUCAGAGGAACUGUGCGCCCAGGAGUGAGCAGCAGAGCAUCUGUACACAGCUUGGGCAGCAAAACCAACAGGCAUUUUCUCCUCCAGUCAUUCACACCUUUCCUUAUGUAACUGGUGCUGAAGCGUGUGCUUGCCAAGUCCAGGGGCCGGGAGGCACCACAAAUGCUUGCUUCUAGCACUCUAGGUGUAUGCAGCUGUGCUGCCCUUGAGGAACUGUACUGGUCUGGGGCAGCACCAUCUGCAGAAGAUGCCUGACCCAAAGAGCUGGCACAGCCCAGGGUAGGUGGGUGAGGAUCUGGGAGCCAUGUUAUUUGCUUAUGCAAUAUUAAAAAAAAUGGUAGUAAUUGGGUAUCACAGAAAGCAGAAGAGGCCCAAGGGCUGGAGGUGGCCGAACUGCUCUGCUCAACCGCGCCUCGGCCUGAGAGGCUGCAGAUCUAAUUAAAAAUAAAAACUCAAAAGGAUGCUGAGGCUGAUCACCAGUGAAAAAACAGGUAUGUCCUUUGUGUUGUGAUUGCUGGGUGCCACCCGAGCUGGUGGUGAGAAGCAUUCAAGGAGGGAGAAGACCUGAAUCCCAUUCCUGCCUGCUGCAGGGAAGGAAGAAGCUGGUCCACAGCUCCUGAGGGACAUGGGGACAUGGCUGUCCUCUAUUCACCCAAGCACAGCAUCCUCGAGGCACCUGGUAUGCUUGGAUCCUUGCCUCAGCCACAAGCAGCUGGUUGUUCCCUCUCCAGUACGCAUCGUACGCUGGGCUUUUGGUUUGUGUUUUUGUUUUUAGGAGAAAAAACAAUAAUUCAUUCGCUCUGUUUUAAUCUCAUAACAAUGAGUAAUUCCUUCCUAGCACUCUGUAGUGGCCUAGAAAAGGACAGCAUCAUCUCCACUGUAGCAAGAAGGCUUCUCCCAGGGCAUAAAAUUUUAAUUAGGAACAAUCACGCAGCCUUGAAAUGGGAAUUGUGAGCAGCAAAAAAAGUCAAACCAUCAAUAAAAUAUUCA